rnacentral:rRNA from 1 species
CCUACGUGUGGCAGCAGUGAGGAAUAUUUGUCAAUGGACGAGAGUCUGAACCAGCCAAGUAGCGUGAAGGAUGACUGCCCUACGGGUUGUAAACUUCUUUUAUAAAGGAAUAAAGUGAGGCACGUGUGCCUUUUUGUAUGUACUUUAUGAAUAAGGAUCGGCUAACUCCGUGCCAGCAGCCGCGGUAAUACGGAGGAUCCGAGCGUUAUCCGGAUUUAUUGGGUUUAAAGGGCGCGUAGAUGGGUUGUUAAGUCAGUUGUGAAAGUUUGCGGUUCAACCGUAAAAUUGCAAUUUAUACUGGUAGGCUUGAGUACAUUUGAGGUAGCUGGAAUUCGUGGUGUAGCGGUGAAAUGCGUAGAUAUUACGAAGAACUCCGAUAGCGAAGGCAGGUUACUAAGACGCUACUGACACUGAGGCACGAAAGUGUAGGGAGCAAACGGGAUUAGAUACCCGGGUAGUC